rnacentral:rRNA from 1 species
AACGAACGCUGGCGGCAUGCCUAACACAUGCAAGUCGAACGAGACCUUCGGGUCUAGUGGCGCACGGGUGCGUAACGCGUGGGAAUCUGCCCUUGGGUUCGGAAUAACAGUUGGAAACGACUGCUAAUACCGGAUGAUGACGUAAGUCCAAAGAUUUAUCGCCCAAGGAUGAGCCCGCGUAGGAUUAGCUAGUUGGUGAGGUAAAGGCUCGCCAAGGCGACGAUCCUUAGCUGGUCUGAGAGGAUGAUCAGCCACACUGGGACUGAGACACGGCCCAGACUACUACGGGAGGCAGGAGUGGGGAAUAUUGGAAAAUGGGCGAAAGCCUGAUCCAGCAAUGCCGCGUGAGUGAUGAAGGCCGUAGGGUUGUAAAGCUCUUUUACCCGGGAUGAUAAUGACAGUACCGGGAGAAUAAGCACCGGCUAACUCCGUG